UACAGAGGUCUCAAGCGUUGUUCGGAUUCAUUGGGCGUAAAGGGUGCGUAGGUGGCGGGGUAAGUCGGAUGUGAAAUCCCGGGGCUCAACCUCGGAACUGCAUUCGAUACUGCUUUGCUUGAGUACUGGAGAGGAGAUUGGAAUUUACGGUGUAGCAGUGAAAUGCGUAGAUAUCGUAAGGAGGACCAGUGGCGAAGGCGGAUCUCUGGACAGUUACUGACACUGAGGCACGAAAGCGUGGGGAGCAAACAGG
rnacentral:rRNA from 1 species